ACCCGUUGAUCCUGCGGGAGGUCACUGCUAGAGGGAUUCGAAUUAGUCAUGCAAGUCUAUGAGGUAACUCAUGGCAUCAGGCUCAGUAACACGUCAGCAAUCUGACCUUAGGUACGGAAUAACUUCGGGAAACUGAGGAUAAUACCGUAUAUUUCAUACAUGUUGGAAUGCAGUAUGAUUUAAAGCUUCGGCGCCUAAGGAUGAGCUGGCGGCAGAUUAGCUUGUAGGUGGUGUAAUGGACCACCUAGGCUCAGAUCUGUAAGGGGGAUGAGAGUCCUGGCCCUGAGAAGAACACUGAGAUAAGGGUUCUAGCACUACGGUGUGCAGCAGACACGAAAACUCCACAAUGCGCGAAAGCGUGAUGGGGGAAUCCCUCGUGCUAGCGUUAUGCGUUAGCUUUUCUAAAGUUUAAGGUGCUUUAGGAAUAAGGGGUGGGCAAGACCGGUGCCAGCCGCCGCGGUAAUCCCGGCGCCCCGAGUGGUGACCAUGUUUAUUGGGUUUAAAGGAUCCGUAGCUGGUUAUUUAAGUUUUCUGUGAAAUCUGGGGGCUUAACCUUCAGACGUGCAAGAAAUACUGGAUAACUUGAGACUGGGAGGAGUUAGAGGAAUGCCAUGGGGAGCGGUUAAAUGCUUUAAUCCAUGGUGGACCAUCAGUGGCGAAGGCGUCUAACUAGAACAGGUCUGACAGUGAGGGAUGAAAGCUAGGGGAGCAAAGAGGAUUAGAUACCCUCGUAGUCCUAGCCGUAAACGCUGCUUGCUAAGUGCUGCGUAUCUUUCGGAGGUAUGCUGUGCUGUAGGGAAACUGUUAAGCAAGCCACCUGGGGAGUACGGUCGCAAGGCUGAAACUUAAAGGAAUAGGCGGGGAGUCACACAAGGAGUGGGUGCUGCGGUUCAAUUGGAUGAUACGCCCGGAACCUUACUAGCGGCGACAGCAGAAUGAAGGUCGGUCUGAAUGGCUUACUCGACACGCUGAGAAGUGGUACAAAGCCGCCGUCAGCUCGUGCUGUGAGGUGUUCUGUUAAGUCAGAGAACGAGCGAGACCUACGUCUCUAGUUGCUACUUUCUUUAUUUGAGGAAAGGCACACUGGGGAGACUGCAUGCGUAAGCAUGAGGAAGGUGUAGGCAACGGUAGGUGCUUGCCCUGAAUCCGCUAGGCUACACGCGGCAAGCAAUGGUUGGUACAACGGGCUGCAACUCCGACAGGAGAAGCGAAUCCCUUAAAACCAAUCCGUCUGAAUCGAGGACUGCAACUCGUCUUCGUGAACAUGAAAUUCCUAGUAAACGUGCGUUAGCAUCGUGCGUUGAAUACGUCCCUGACUCUUGCACUCACCGCCCGUCAAUCCAUCCAAGUUGGGUUUGGAUGAGGCUUGAUCUUUCGUAAGAUUUUGGUUGAGUCGAAUCUGAGCUCAGCAA
rnacentral:rRNA from 1 species